rnacentral:lncRNA from 1 species
UGCAGCUAGCAGUGCCCAGUGGUGUGGUCUUGACUCUUGUGAAGCAGAAAUCCAUGGCAAGCUCGCACUGCUGGGAGAGCCCGCCGGCGGAGGGGGAGAGGUCAUCGACGACUUCGGCGGGCAGAAGGCGUACGUCGCCGUCUCGGCCUGCUCCAAGGCCGCCGUCGUCCUCAGCUCCGACGCCUUUGGUAGGUUUCGAACCAACCGCACGAGUCCAAAGGCUUCGAUCCACGAGUUAUUCAAAAAUUGAAGUAUCGAAUCCGCAAGAGUCGAAUCGGCUAGGGAUGUUGCCCGCUGAAAACCAUUUCCUUUUUUUUUUCUUUUGUGCAGGCUUUGAAGCCCCAAACCUGAGGUGAGCUACGGAAUCUACUUUUCACUCUCUUUUAACGCUAUUCCAUUCCAUUUUCAAGAUAGGAAAACCCUGCAGCUGCUUGCAAGCAUUUCCUGUUUAUCCUUCGUACCUCUCCACCGAUCACGGUGUGGGGAGAUGCUUUGCUCAAUUAAAAUGGGACGUGGUUCCAUCAAAGGUUCAAGGAAAAGUUGGCAAUGCCACUAUGGUAUUCGUACAAUACAUAGAUGUUGUAGACUAGGGUGUGAUGUUACCUUCAGGAGAGCUGGCAUGACAUGACUUUUUAAACUUUUGGGGGAUGCAUAUGGUACACAAGUUGUUCUAGCCGUAAAACAUUUUUCAACUCUUACACAUAUACAGUUCUUUGUUCACCUCACCUCCUGUAUGAAGGACUACUAUGUGUAAUUGAUAGUGCAAAAGGCAUUUUUAAGUAAAAAGAAAGCAUGUAUGUCAGUUAGGGCUCCUUUGUAACACAUGAAUUUUAUAGAAUUUUCACAUAAAACAAUUUGAUUCCUCCAAACUCAAACUGAAUAGAGCCUUGUUAUGAAUUUCUUCUUCCAAAGCCAUGUUCCAGGAAAAAGGGAUCAGAAUUAUACAAGAAUACUGGAUCAUCUUUCUGUAGCUUUCUAUUCGAAUUUGUUUCCACCACAAAUGUUCCUAUUUGUUCAACUUAAAAAAUUGUUGAAUCUAUGUGUUUAUUGAAUAUAUAUUCAGCAAUAAAAUGGCACAGUAGAUUAAUGAAACUCAUGAUGAAAGUUUUAUUCGGUUGAACUCUAGUAGCAUAUCAGAUUGUUGCUGGAAUUAAGAUUGUACUUUUAUGCUCUAUAUGAAGUGCAUCUGCUCGUUGGAUUGUGUAGUACUACCCAUUAUCCAUUUCGGAAAGCAUAUUGAAUUCUUUUUGCCGGGCUGGCCGAAGAGUGGCCAGCCAAAUUUCAUUAAGGAUAGAGAAUUUACAAACUUCUUACAGCAAAGGGCAGAGGCUCACGACAAGAGGCUGUCGUGAUUAAAUUCUUACUAUUAAGUGGUGUUAAGUUAUGAUUCAAAUACAUAGUAGAAAGGUCGACUUUGACGGAACGAAACGGAGGUAGGUUGCUAGGAGGCUUGGGCCGGAGCCUCCGCGGUACGGAUUGUACUGUUUUAUAUAUAUAUAUAUAUAUAACAUCACCACGAUUAAUUCUAUUAAACCAUAUUGGGUGGGACCGGAAGCGUCCUCACCGUGUUGCCUUCUUACAUAAGUCCUAGAAAAUGUGUUUAUUGUCACAUCACUCUUUUUAAAAAGUUCUUUAACUUACCAAUAUUUCCAUAUAUAUAUAUAUAUAUACCCCUCUUAUAAGCCGUCAUGCGGCGUUGUAACCUCAUCGCAAUAUAGUGAAGAUAUUUGUUGACCGGCGCCCGUGAUUUUUUCUCUUCUGGUUUAGAAGAGUUUUUCACGUUAAAUCUCAUGUCUGGUAUGAUUGAUCUAUUGUGUUUAUAGUUGAUUUAUCCAUUGUUAACCAGGGGCGCCCGGAGGCCCUGGACAAACUAGGCGAUUACUCGCGGCAUGUACGCAAGUAUGCAACACUCCCGCUAAACUCCAGAAAGCAUAUUGAAUUCUGAAAAUGUUUGAUCUUUAAAUGUCUGGGCGCGCCUUCCAAAUGUCCAGCAUUCAUUCAGAAACUUAAACAUUAAUUAAGAUUAUUUCAAAUUACAAGAAGGAAAAAUAUAUAUCAAAUGUUGGAAUUCGGGGUGGC